CAGUCAAAUCAUGCUGAAAAGACACUGGUUCUUAUUCGAUCACUGAAGUUAAGCAGUGUUGAGUCUGGUCAGUACUUAGAUGGGAGACCGCUCGGAAACACCGGGACCUGU